rnacentral:miRNA from 1 species
CGCCGCCGCCGUUACUGUCACU